UAUUUGGAUGGUAUUAAUCAAACUUUAAAU
rnacentral:piRNA from 1 species